UACGGGAGGCAGCAGUGGGGAAUAUUGCACAAUGGGCGCAAGCCUGAUGCAGCCAUGCCGCGUGUAUGAAAAAGGCCUUCGGGUUGUAAAGUACUUUCAGUCGUGAGGAAGGUGUUAAGGUUAAUAACCUUAGCAAUUGACGUUAGCGACAGAAGAAGCACCGGCUAACUCCGUGCCAGCAGCCGCGGUAAUACGGAGGGUGCGAGCGUUAAUCGGAAUUACUGGGCGUAAAGGGCACGCAGGCGGUUAAUUAGUUGGAUGUGAAAUCCCCGGGCUUAACCUGGGAAUGGCAUUCAAGACUGGUUAGCUAGAGUCUUGUAGAGGGGGUAGAAAUUCCAUGUGUAGCGGUGAAAUGCGUAGAGAUGUGGAGGAAUACCGGUGGCGAAGGCGGGCCCCUGGACAAAAGGACUGACGCUCAUGUGCGAAAAGGCGUGGGGGAGCAAAACAGGGAUUAAGAUAACC
rnacentral:rRNA from 1 species